AGAGUUUGAUCCUGGCUCAGGACGAACGCUGGCGGCGCGCCUAACACAUGCAAGUCGAACGAGCGAGAGAGAGCUUGCUUUCUCGAGCGAGUGGCGAACGGGUGAGUAACGCGUGAGGAAUCUGCCUCAAAGAGGGGGACAACAGUUGGAAACGACUGCUAAUACCGCAUAAGCCCACGGUGCCGCAUGGCACAGAGGGAAAAGGAGCAAUCCGCUUUGAGAUGGCCUCGCGUCCGAUUAGCUAGUUGGUGAGGUAACGGCCCACCAAGGCAACGAUCGGUAGCCGGACUGAGAGGUUGAACGGCCACAUUGGGACUGAGACACGGCCCAGACUCCUACGGGAGGCAGCAGUGGGGAAUAUUGCACAAUGGGGGAAACCCUGAUGCAGCGACGCCGCGUGGAGGAAGAAGGUCUUCGGAUUGUAAACUCCUGUUGUUGGGGAAGAUAAUGACGGUACCCAACAAGGAAGUGACGGCUAACUACGUGCCAGCAGCCGCGGUAAAACGUAGGUCACAAGCGUUGUCCGGAAUUACUGGGUGUAAAGGGAGCGCAGGCGGGAAGGCAAGUUGGAAGUGAAAUCCAUGGGCUCAACCCAUGAACUGCUUUCAAAACUGUUUUUCUUGAGUAGUGCAGAGGUAGGCGGAAUUCCCGGUGUAGCGGUGGAAUGCGUAGAUAUCGGGAGGAACACCAGUGGCGAAGGCGGCCUACUGGGCACCAACUGACGCUGAGGCUCGAAAGUGUGGGUAGCAAACAGGAUUAGAUACCCUGGUAGUCCACACUGUAAACGAUGAUUACUAGGUGUUGGAGGAUUGACCCCUUCAGUGCCGCAGUUAACACAAUAAGUAAUCCACCUGGGGAGUACGACCGCAAGGUUGAAACUCAAAGGAAUUGACGGGGGCCCGCACAAGCAGUGGAGUAUGUGGU
rnacentral:rRNA from 1 species